CCCAGACUCCUACGGGAGGCAGCAGUGGGGGAUAUUGCACAAUGGGGGGAACCCUGAUGCAGCGACGCCGCGUGGGUGAAGGAGCGUUUCGGCGCGUAAAGCCCUAUCGGCAGGGAAGAAGGAGGACGGUACCUGACUAAGAAGCCCCGGCUAACUACGUGCCAGCAGCCGCGGUAAUACGUAGGGGGCAAGCGUUAUCCGGAUUUACUGGGUGUAAAGGGGGCGCAGACGGCAGCGCAAGCCAGGAGUGAAAGCCCGGGGCCCAACCCCGGGACUGCUCUUGGAACUGCGCGGCUGGAGUGCAGGAGGGGCAGGCGGAAUUCCUGGUGUAGCGGUGAAAUGCGUAGAUAUCAGGAGGAACACCGGUGGCGAAGGCGGCCUGCUGGACUGCGACUGACGUUGAGGCCCGAAAGCGUGGGGAGCAAACAGGAUUAGAUACCCCGGUAAA
rnacentral:rRNA from 1 species